rnacentral:rRNA from 1 species
CGCUGGCGGCGUGCUUAACACAUGCAAGUCGAACGGUGACGGAGAGCUUGCUCUCCUGAUCAGUGGCGAACGGGUGAGUAACACGUGGGCAACCUGCCCCAGACUUCGGGAUAACGCUUCGAAAGAGGUGCUAAUACCGGAUACGAACUCCUUGGGCAUCCUUGGAGUUGGAAAGUUUUCGGUCUGGGAUGGGCCCGCGGCCUAUCAGCUUGUUGGUGAGGUAACGGCUCACCCAAGGCGACGACGGGUAGCCGGCCUGAGAGGGCGACCGGCCACACUGGGACUGAGACACGGCCCAGACUCCUACGGGAGGCAGCAGUGGGGAAUAUUGCGCAAUGGGCGAAAGCCUGACGCAGCAACGCCGCGUGAGGGAUGACGGCCUUCGGGUUGUAAACCUCUUUCAGCAGGGAAGAAGCGAAAGUGACGGUACCUGCAGAAGAAGCACCGGCUAACUACGUG